GUACGGGAGGCAGCAGUAGGGAAUAUUGCAAAAUGGGCGCAAGCCCGAUGCAGCAACGCCGCGUGGGCGAUGAAGGCCUUCGGGUCGUAAAGCCCUUUUCGGAGGGAUGAGGAAGGACAGUACCUUCGGAAGAAGUCUCGGCUAACUACGUGCCAGCAGCCGCGGUAAAACGUAGGAGGCAAGCGUUAUCCGGAUUUACUGGGCGUAAAGCGCGUGCAGGCGGCUUGGAAAGUUGGAUGUGAAAGCUCCCGGCUCAACUGGGAGAGGUCGUUCAAGACUUCCAGGCUGGAGGGUGGUAGAGGGAGGUGGAAUUCCGGGUGUAGUGGUGAAAUGCGUAGAUAUCCGGAGGAACACCAGUGGCGAAAGCGGCCUCCUGGCCCACACCUGACGCUCAGACGCGAAAGCUAGGGUAGCAAACGGGAUUAGAUACCCCAGUAGUC
rnacentral:rRNA from 1 species